rnacentral:lncRNA from 1 species
GACUAAGGACCAUAGGAGAACUGUCUGAAGAUGAAGUCAAAGGAGUCAUGAAGCUGAUGCAAAGAAGAGGUAUUUCUUCUAUACCAACAGCCACCACAAGCCGCUCUCAGUCCACAUCCACCUCAGAUGCUCAGGGUGUGCGAGGAACCUCAAACCAAACAGAACCCAUCAAGACACAACUUAGCAGAAUUGCUGGUGAGUGCAGCAUGACUACCUCCACAGUCUUGACUGAAACACCUGCUUCCACAAAUAAAACGUCACAUCAGAAGAAAGAAGAAAAUGUUGCUACUGAACCAACACACCACUUCAUACACAGAAUUAUGAGUACAUCUUCCUACAACCAAGAAGAUCUCUUAUCAUCUUCCAGGUAAAUGAAAUAAAGCAAUAC